rnacentral:ncRNA from 1 species
ACAAAGAAAAGGCAAAACACGUGAAAUCGUGUUACGCAAAACCACCGGUCUAAGGGAUUUAUGUUUUAUAUAUAAAUUCUAUGACAGCGGAGUCACCUCG